rnacentral:rRNA from 1 species
GACGAACGCUGGCGGCGUGCUUAACACAUGCAAGUCGAACGAAGUGGCGAACGGGUGAGUAACGCGUAAUCAAGCUGCCCUUCAGAGGGGGACAACAGUUGGAAACGACUGCUAAUACCGCAAACGGAAGCAGGGGUUUGCUUUUGAUUAGCUAGUUGGAGGGGUAACGGCCAACCAAGGCGAUGAUCAGUAGCCGGGCUGGGAGGAUGGACGGCCACCAUGGGAACGAGCCACGGGCCAGACCUCUACGGGAGGCCGCAGGGGGGGAUCUUCCGCCAUGGACUAAAGUCUGACGGAGCCACGCCGCGUGAGUUGUGGCGGCCUUCGGGUUGUUAAGCUCUGUUAAUCGGGACGCGGUACCGGAAUAGAAAGCCACGGCUAACUACGUGCCAGCAGCCGCGGUAAUAC